AAUCAACGCUGGCGGCGUGCCUCAGACAUGCAAGUCGAACGAUUAAAGCUCUCUUCGGAGAGUGCAUAGAGUGGCGCACGGGUGAGUAACACGUAAGUAAUCUACCUUCGAGUGGGGAAUAACGUCCGGAAACGGACGCUAAUACCGCAUAAUGCAGCGGCAUCGUAAGAUGACAGUUGUUAAAGAUUUAUCGCUUGAAGAGGAGCUUGCGGCAGAUUAGCUAGUUGGUAAGGUAAUGGCUUACCAAGGCUACGAUCUGUAACCGGUCUUAGAGGACGGUCGGUCACACUGACACUGAAUAACGGGUCAGACUCCUACGGGAGGCAGCAGUCGGGAAUUUUGGGCAAUGGGCGAAAGCCUGACCCAGCAACGCCGCGUGAAGGAUGAAGUAUUUCGGUAUGUAAACUUCGAAAGAAUAGGAAGAAUAAAUGACGGUACUAUUUAUAAGGUCCGGCUAACUACGUGCCAGCAGCCGCGGUAAGUGACGUCAGA
rnacentral:rRNA from 1 species